AUCCGCAUUGCAUCGGCACUCGUUGCCGUCAUUGUUUUUAAAAACUGCAUCCACUCGUAGUUGCCGCUUCUUCCGUUUCUCGGUUGACCUUCUCUCUGAUCAACCGGACCGCUCUCUUCUCUCUCUUUUCUGAGCUCAUCAAACCCCUUGCCUUCGUUGAUCGUUCCGAGACCAACCGGGUUUUUCAAGUCCCUCUCGUCUGGCCGCUUAAUCUUUCUCCACAGUGCAUAGACCCCUCGCGUGCGCGUCCGAAGUUGUCCCGAACCCGAACCGGACUACCGUUACCGUUGGAUUCGGGUCAUCCCCAAACAUCUACAAAAUAUCUCGUUUUCUUUGUUGGACGCCAUAGCCUAUUUUUCUCGACCAUCUGUUUUCGAUCGGAGGGACUAGGUAGCCCCUAACCUAAUCCCCUACUAUAUAUAUAGGUCCAACCCUAGAUCCUAGGUGCCUUGUCCCAUGGAUCCCAUCGCGCCGCCGCCACUCCUCCAGUCCCUUCUUCCUCGGGAUCCCCUCCCGAUCCAGCCCACCAAUCGCAGCCUCCGACCACCUCGCUUGUUCUCCGCGCCGCUCCAUUCCUAGCCUCCCGCGCGCAGCCGCAUGCCCGACCUCGAGCUCUCCCGCAGCCAGCCGGCGCUUGAUCCAGGUUGGAUCGAGGCCACGGCCUUGCUCCCCUUUGUCUCCUCCGCCCAAGCCACCGCACGGGAGAUGCCUGGCGCUCCACCCCAAGAAGCAAAGGUCCCCGAGCGCUCCUCCUCCUCGUGACCCGCAGCUCCGGCGAAGCUCGCCACCGGCGACCACCUCCCGCAGGCCCGUACCGCCUCCUUCCUCCCUGCACCCCUUCUCUUCCUUCCCUUUUCUCUAAGCGCCAUCGCUUCCUCAUGUUUCUCUUCGCACAGGAGCUCCAACCCCGGCCAUGGACACUUGUUCUUCCCCGUUGACCCUGCCGACUUGAACCCCGCCGAAUCAGGUGCCUCGUCGUCCGCGCCAAGACCAGCUAGCAGCCGCCCGUGUUCGUCGUCCCAAACCUCUCCUUCGCCCCACACCUCCGCCUCAACUCCAGCCGGAUCGGCUUGGUUCCCCGCCGCCCUGCCAAGUCCAUGGAGCCGCCUCCCCGUCGCACGUCCGGCUUCAAUAGCAGCCAUGGAGCCGCCUCCGCUUCGAUUCGGCAGGGAACAGGACCCCGACGACCUCCACCGCCCGGAUCCGUGUCUCCCAUGCCGCCAGCUUUCGCGUCUGCUUCCGCUACCCCACGCCGGCGCGCCGCCCUUUGCCAAGUCCACCGUCGCCGGCCUCUGCUCGCUCUGCUUAGAGCAGAGUAUCUUCGCUCGUCCCGCACGAGCGCCUUGACCCUGCCUCGCUCGCGUUGACCGCGCCUCCAGCGCGCCAGGCCGCUGCCCAGCAGCGCCCCAAGCCCUCUGCUUCGGUUUUGUUCCGGAGUUGUGAGGUUUCGUUCGACUACAUCCGUUUGUCUUCUUCAU